ACUCACUGUAUCAUCUGGGUUUUACGUGUCCAGUUUUAGACUAUAUAUAAUUUAGUAUGAUAUAAAUCCCAACAACUAAGGUUGAUCGAGGGAAUAAUGGUGAAAAAUGGAGGAUUAUCUAUUUGUCAUGGAUCAUCAUCAUUUGUAUUAUCUCCUCCGCCAUUAUUCCCAAUUCGAAGGAAUUUUUACUUACUCGCACAAGCCACUGCUGCACCUCCUCCUUCAAGAACCCAAAGGAUAAUGGAGAGCAUAUCUGUAAGUGGUGGGGAAGUUGGUGGUGCUGGUGGUUCAUACUCAUACAACUCUUUGAAAAGAUUGGAUUCCUUGUGGUCUACCCUUUUCUCUCAUUCACCAGUUGUGCAAGAACCCCAGCAAGUGGUUUCGAAUAUUCCCGGUAUAUUUAGCGAAUCGGAGCAAGCUGCAAAAUGCGGUGGUGAUGAUGUAUUCGAUGUUGUUGUUUGUGGAGGCACCUUGGGAAUCUUCAUUGCUACUGCUUUGAGUUCUAAAGGUCUUCGUGUUGGAAUCGUCGAGAAGAGUAUUUUGAAAGGGAGGGAACAAGACUGGAAUAUAUCAAGAAAAGAGCUUUUGGAGCUUGUUGAAGUUGGUGUUCUAACGGAAGACGACAUUGUUUCUGUUACUUCCGCUAGCUUCAAUCCCAAUAGAUGUGGAUUUGAAGGGAAGGGUGAGAUUUGGGUUAAUGACAUUCUCAAUCUUGGCGUUUCGCCUGCCAAACUUAUAGAUAUCAUGAGAAAACGGUUCGAUUCACUUGGUGGUGUCAUCUUUGAGGGUUGCAGUUUAUCGAACAUAUCAGUUUACGAGGAUUCAGCUAUAUUACAACUCGCAGAUGGAAAGAUUUUGUCAUCACGUCUCGUUAUUGAUGCAAUGGGAAACUUUUCUCCGAUUGUAAAACAAAUCAGACGUGGAAGGAAGCCAGAUGGCAUGUGCCUCGUUGUUGGUUCUUGUUGCCGUGGUUUCAAAGACAAUAUUACAAGCGAUGUCAUAUUUAGUAGUGCUUCAGUGAAGAGUGUCGGAAAGUCAGUCGCACAAUAUUUCUGGGAGGCAUUCCCUGCUGGCUCGGGUCCCCUUGAGCGAACUACGUAUAUGUUCACUUACCUUAACCCAGAACCCGGGUGUCCCUUAUUGGAAGAGUUGCUCGAAGAUUAUUGGGAUUUAAUGCCAAAGUAUCAAGGCGUCUCUCUCGAUGAUCUCGAGGUUUUGAGAGUUAUAUACGGCAUUUUUCCUACAUAUCGUGACAGUCCGUUGCCAGCGGCUUUUGAUCGUGUUUUACAGUUUGGGGAUGCUAGUGGAAUACAGUCACCAGUUUCGUUUGGUGGUUUUGGGAGCUUGACUAGGCAUCUUGGAAGAUUAUCUGUCGGUUUGAAGGCAUAUAUGAAGCAGUCAACAGUAAUUAUCUGGACGCCCGGAGCUUAUCGCUGUUAAACCCGUAUAUGCCUAAUUUAAGUGCAUCGUGGUUGUUUCAAAGAGCAAUGUCGGCUAAAAUGCAGUCCGAUGUUUCACCCAAUUUCAUAAACGAGCUUUUAUAUGCCAAUUUUCAGAGCAUGCAGAAACUAGGGGAUCCAGUGCUGAGACCGUUUCUUCAGGAUGUGAUACAGUUUGGUCCACUGGUGAAGACAUUAGGCCUCGUCAUGCUCAAUCAACCUCUAUUAAUACCAUCAAUAUUUAAGCAGGUUGGUGUAUCGGUGCUUGUCGACUGGUCGGGACAUUUUGUGAUGUUAGGAUACUAUACAUUUCUUUCAUCGUACAUCGACCCUCUCAUUAGGUCGUUUAUGAACAAAUUUCCGGACAAGAUGAGAUACGAAUGGAAGCAAAAGCUUGAGGCAUGGAAGUAUGGAGCUGGUCUUGACUAUAAAUUGACCCAUUCUUCUUCUAAAGAAUGAUAUAGCUUUGCAUGAUUUUUGGUGUAUUUCAUUAUUUCAUUAAUCUAAAGUGUUGGAAUUAUUACUUGUCUAAUUCUUUGGUUGUAAUGGAUGCAGAUAUUAUUUAUAACCUGGAAAAUAAAUAUUAUAUAUUUGUAUUAC